rnacentral:rRNA from 1 species
UACGUAGGGUGCAAGCGUUAAUCGGAAUUACUGGGCGUAAAGCGUGCGCAGGUGGUUAUGCAAGACAGAGGUGAAAUCCCCGGGCUCAACCUGGGAACUGCCUUUGUGACUGCAUAGCUAGAGUACGGUAGAGGGGGAUGGAAUUCCGCGUGUAGCAGUGAAAUGCGUAGAUAUGCGGAGGAACACCGAUGGCGAAGGCAAUCCCCUGGACCUGUACUGACGCUCAUGCACGAAAGCGUGGGGAGCAAACAGG